UACGUAGGAUGCAAGCGUUGUCCGGAAUUAUUGGGCGUAAAGAGCGCGCAGGCGGUCUGCCAAGUCAGAUGUGAAAGAGGCCGGCUUAACCGGCAAGGGUCAUUUGAAACUGACAGACUAGAGUGCAGCAGAGGAUAGCGGAAUUCCCGGUGUAGUGGUGAAAUGCGUAGAUAUCGGGAGGAACACCAGUGGCGAAGGCGGGUCUCUGGGCAGGUAACU
rnacentral:rRNA from 1 species